GUGGGGAAUUUUGCGCAAUGGGCGAAAGCCUGACGCAGCAACGCCGCGUGGAGGAUGAAGGCCUUCGGGUCGUAAACUCCUGUCAGGGGGGACGAAAGCCGCGCAAGCGGUUUGACUGUACCCUCUGAGGAAGCCACGGCUAACUCCGUGCCAGCAGCCGCGGUAAUACGGAGGUGGCAAGCGUUGUUCGGAAUUACUGGGCGUAAAGGGCGCGUAGGCGGCUUGGCAAGUCAGAUGUGAAAGCCCCGGGCUUAACUUGGGAAUUGCAUCUGAAACUGCUUUGCUUGAGUCCUGGAGGGGGUAGUGGAAUUCCCAGUGUAGCGGUGAAAUGCGUAGAUAUUGGGAGGAACACCUGCGGCGAAGGCGGCUACCUGGACAGUGACUGACGCUGAGGCGCGAAAGCUAGGGGAGCAAACGGGAUUAGAAACCCUUGUAGUCC
rnacentral:rRNA from 1 species